rnacentral:piRNA from 1 species
UGCAAGUAACAUGUCGGUGUCCUACAUUC